rnacentral:tRNA from 3 species
GCGCGAGUGGCGGAAUUGGUAGACGCGCUGGAUUUAGGUUCCAGUGUCUUCGGACGUAGGGGUUCAAGUCCCCUCUCGCGUACCG